GAUGAACGCUGGCGGCGUGCCUAAUACAUGCAAGUCGAACGCAUUGAGAGAAGUGCUUGCACUUUUCAAUUUGAGUGGCGAACGGGUGAGUAACACGUGGGCAACCUACCUGAUAGCGGGGGAUAACGAGUGGAAACAUUCGCUAAUACCGCAUAACAAUAGAGAAGGCAUCUUCUUUAUUUAAAAGGCGCUUUCAAGCGUCACUAUCAGAUGGGCCCGCGGUGAAUUAGUUAGUUGGUGGGGUGAAGGCCUACCAAGACGAUGAUGCAUAGCCGAGUUGAGAGACUGAUCGGCCACAUUGGGACUGAGACACGGCCCAAACUCCUACGGGAGGCUGCAGUAGGGAAUCUUCCACAAUGGACGAAGGUCUGAUGGAGCAACGCCGCGUGUGUGAUGAAGGCUUUCGGGUCGUAAAGCACUGUUGUAUGGGAAGAAAUGCUAGGCUAGGAAAUGAGCUUAGUUUGACGGUACCAUACCAGAAAGGGACGGCUAAAUACGUGCCAGCCGCCGCGGUAA
rnacentral:rRNA from 1 species